GUGUAUUAGCGAUAGAAGUGGCAUCCUUUUCUGAAGAAUGAAGAAAAGAUAAAACGGAUAGCGCGGCCCGAA
rnacentral:sRNA from 1 species